GUUGAAGAACGCAGCGAAAUGCGAUAAGUAAUGUGAAUUGCAGAAUUCAGUGAAUCAUCGAAUCUUUGAACGCACAUUGCGCCCGCCAGUAUUCUGGCGGGCAUGCCUGUCUGAGCGUCAUUUCAACCCUCAUGCCCCUAGGGCGUGGUGUUGGGGAUCGGCCAAAGCCCGCGAGGGACGGCCGGCCCCUAAAUCUAGUGGCGGACCCGUCGUGGCCUCCUCUGCGAAGUAGUGAUAUUCCGCAUCGGAGAGCGAUGAGCCCCUGCCGUUAAACCCCCAACUUUCCAAGGUUGACCUCAGAUCAGGUAGGAAUACCCGCUGAACUUAAGCAUAUCAAUAAGCGGAGGA
rnacentral:misc_RNA from 1 species